rnacentral:rRNA from 1 species
GACGAACGCUGGCGGCGCGCUUAACACAUGCAAGUCGAACGGAAAGGCCCUGCUUUUGUGGGGUGCUCGAGUGGCGAACGGGUGAGUAACACGUGAGAAACCUGUCCUUGACUUUGGGAUAACUUCAGGAAACUGGGGCUAAUAUCGGAUAGGAGCUCCUGCUGCAUGGUGGGGGUUGGAAAGUUUCGGCGGUUAGGGAUGGACUCGCGGCUAAUCAGCUUGUUGGUGGGGUAGUGGAUUACCAAGGCGAAGACGGGUAGACGGACUGAGAGGGUGAAAGGUCAAAUUGGGAAUGAGACAGGGCCAAGAGUCCGACGGGAGGCAGCAGUGGGGGAUAUGGCACAAUGGGGGAAACCACGAUGCAGCGACGAAGCGUGGAGGAAGAAGGUGUUAGGAUUGUAAACUCCUGUGGUGAGGGACGAUAAUGACGGUAAAUAACAAGAAAGCACCGGAUAACUACGUG